AACUGAUAGAAGCUUGCUUCUAUGACGUUAGCGGCGGACGGGUGAGUAACACGUGGGCAACCUGCCUGUAAGACUGGGAUAACUCCGGGAAACCGGAGCUAAUACCGGAUAACAUUUUCUCUUGCAUAAGAGAAAAUUGAAAGAUGGUUUCGGCUAUCACUUACAGAUGGGCCCGCGGUGCAUUAGCUAGUUGGUGAGGUAACGGCUCACCAAGGCAACGAUGCAUAGCCGACCUGAGAGGGUGAUCGGCCACACUGGGACUGAGACACGGCCCAGACUCCUACGGGAGGCAGCAGUGGUCUGC
rnacentral:rRNA from 1 species